rnacentral:rRNA from 1 species
GUUGAACGCUGGCGGCAGGCCUAACACAUGCAAGUCGAGCGGAUGAAGGGAGCUUGCUCCUGGAUUCAGCGGCGGACGGGUGAGUAAUGCCUAGGAAUCUGCCUGGUAUUGGGGGAUAACGUCCGGAAACGGGCGCUAAUACCGCAUACGUCCCGAGGGUGAAAGUGGGGGAUCUUCGGACCUCACGCUAUCUGAUGAGCCUAGGUCGGAUUAGCUAGUUGGUGGGGUAAAGGCCUACCAAGGCGACGAUCCGUAACUGGUCUGAGAGGAUGAUCAGUCACACUGGAACUGAGACACGGUCCAGACUCCUACGGGAGGCAGCAGUGGGGAAUAUUGGACAAUGGGCGAAAGCCUGAUCCAGCCAUGCCGCGUGUGUGAAGAAGGUCUUCGGAUUGUAAAGCACUUUAAGUUGGGAGGAAGGGCAGUAAGUUAAUACCUUGCUGUUUUGACGUUACCAACAGAAUAAGCAACGGCUAACUUCGUG